AUACGGAGGGUGCAAGCGUUACUCGGAAUCACUGGGCGUAAAGCGCGCGCAGGCGGCUAUUUAAGUUGGAUGUGAAAGCCUACGGCUCAACCGUAGAACUGCAUCCAAAACUAUUUAGCUAGAGUGUGGGAGAGGAAGAUGGAAUUAGUUGUGUAGGGGUAAAAUCCGUAGAGAUAACUAGGAAUACCAAAAGCGAAGGCAAUCUUCUGGAACACUACUGACGCUGAGGCGCGAAAGCGUGGGGAGCAAACGGGAUUAGAGACCCGAGUAGUCC
rnacentral:rRNA from 1 species